rnacentral:lncRNA from 1 species
AUCGUGGUGGAGAUCGAUGUGGCGGAGAUCCGAAAGGGACCCGAUUUUCUUUGGAAGCUUCUCCAGCAUCUUACAGUUUCUCAGGCCCAGGGUCUGCAGGUUGUACAGAUUGGAGAUAGAUUCUGGAAGCUUUCUGAUCUUUGGGCUGGAGAUGUUAAGGUAUCGCAGGUGUAUCAGCUUCCCGACCGAUUUGUCCAGCGAUUCAAUCUCCAGGCAUCCCAGAUCCAACGCCCUAAGGCGCCUCAGCUUGUCCGCCAUGUCCAGUGGAAUCUGAAGGCUAUGUGGGGACCCGAGAAGCAACAGAGUAUACAAGCCGCUGCACGCGUAGAAUGAUUCGAUGAUCUUCUUUGGCCGAUCGUUCACUGAAGACGACCGCGUUCCUGCUGUCAGGUGGGCCUGAUCGAACACGAGAGUCGCGUAGCGAGGAGUGGAGGGGGGCUUGAACUCCUCAUUGCACGCGGCGAGACAGCUCUCAUCGGCACAGAUGUACUGCGCCAUCUGCGGGACGAGGCUGGGCAUCACGUACCUCGUCGAGCUGCCGUCCUCCACUCGCCUGAAGAACAUCCUGUCCAGCAGAGAAUCGAUGUAUUCGCCGCCGAGCUCCUCCGGCCGCCGGUUUUCCGAGUAAAGAAAUCCUUGCGCCAUCCACAGCCGAAUCAAGACGUCCUUUUCAAACUGGUGAUCCGGGGGAAAGCUCCCGCAAAAUCUAGCGCACAGCUUCAGAGGGGCCGGCCACUGGACGUACGUCGACACAAGAGGCUUCAACAUGCGCUGCUGGAGAUCGGGCAUGAGCGCGCGUAUCUCGACCUUAUGCGCGUGGUCCCAUGCGCCCCUAUCAGCGAGGCGCAAGUGUCUUCCCAGUGCUAUCGUAGCCUCCGGCCAGCCGCGACAUUUCCGCGCGAUCUCCUUGCCGGCCGAGACCAGGUGUGCUUCCGGGGAAUCAUCCUGGAAGGCGUGGUGGCGGAAGAGGAACCAGCAGUCCUCGUCGGAGAGAUGGGUCAGGACGAUGGGUUCUCCCACGGUGCUGAUACUCCUGGCGACGGUCGGAUUCCUGGUGGUGACCAGGAUUCUGCUUCCCGGUCCCCCGCCGAGGAGGGCCUUCUGGAGCUCGACCCAGUCCUUGUGGAUCUCAGCACAGUCGUCCGAGAGCUCGUUCCACAGGUUGUCCAGAACCAGAAGGUACCUCUUUCCCCUGAGACUCUCUGAGAUUAUGCUCUGCAUCCUAUUCAGGUCCGUGAAAUUGGUCGGCUGAUCCAUGCAUUCAAUAAUCAGUUUGAUCAGCUGGGUCACGUUCGAUCCGGGGGGGACGUACACCCACAUCUUCUGUUCGAAAUACGGGGAGAUGCGGUCGUGGUUGUAGACGACCUGGGCGACGGUGGUCUUGCCGAUCCCUCCGAACCCCAUUAUGGGAAUUGUUGGGACGCCCUUAGCGGCGUCAUCACCUUUGAAUAGCAGAUUUACCAUUCUUCCGACGACGGAGUCCCUGCCGAAGAUGGGGCUUUCGACGGACAAGUUCCCCGUGGUCGGUCUAGCAUGGAUCCGAUCCUUUUUUUUUCCAGCACCAGGCCGGUCAAUCGGGCCGAGGAGGUUAUUGUUGAUGAUUUGACGAAGAUUUGAAUUGAUCUGUGCGACGCCGGCUCCUAUCUGACGCAUAAAUUUUUGGCGACUGCGGCUCAUAUGGCGGAUGCUAUCGCGUACCUCGGGAAAAAGGAGACGUUCUCGUCGGAAGGCCUCCGUGCUGAUCUCGUCCAGGAUGUCGUUCGCGUCGUACGCUACCCGGCGGAGGUCCCGCUCCAAGCUCGUCACCUUGUCCACCCGCUCCGUGUCCUCCUCUUCUCUAGCGAGGAUCUCCAGGACAUGCUUCAGGGACGUCUCCAUCGUCUCCAGAGCGGUCUUCAAUUCUUUUUCUUCUCUCAGUUUCGACAGCAGUAUGUUGUAGAGGUUCUGCAGGAGAACCUGCAUAAGGGCCGCCAGGAAAACCUCGCCGACGAACACCAUGAUGGUGGCGGGGCGGUGAGACGGAGAUUGAAGGGGAAAUCGCAGCAGAAAACGCGAUUCGAGGAUCCCACCGAGCCGAAGCGGCCCAACGAAUCCAAUUGCAAGGAAGAUCCCACCGACCCGGAGGGAACGCAAGAUACCCAGCUGAGGCUCCGGCGGCGCUUGAAGAUGACGACGACACGGCUAGAAAUAAUGACGCUGGGUUCUUUCGACGAGCCUUCUCCGGGUUCUUCCCACUCCCUUCCUCCACUUGACCAGGUCCCGUGACUGGCAACAUUUCCUUGCUUCUUCCCACGAAAGAACAAAAAGCCAGCGAGGCUGAAGGCGGAUGAGGGUAGACAAAAGGCCACGAAUUUUUAGGAUGGCGCUCGAGCAUGAAUUGAUAGAAGAUUAAACAUUAGCCAAGUCCUGCGGCUACCAAUCUCCCACAUCUCCGCUUUCAUGAUAUACAACGCUCUGGACCAACCGGGUAGGCGAGCGGUUCCAAGAAGAACAGCGGCAGAUGAACAUUCAGGGCUUGGCUCAGAUUCCUUGCAUAUUUUUCUCAUCUUCCUUCCUCCAAACAAGUGUAAGAGAACUCUCCGUCCCUCACACUCCCAAACCAUAAAUAACUCAACGUCCGAUCUGGUAAGUCGACUGCCUCACAAAGAUGGCUCCCAAACUUAUGGGAAAGUCAACGAGCAGAGCACCUCUUUCAGAGGAUAGUUCAGGGAUAACAGCUUGUUGGAGGGCAGUGAUGGAUGGAGCAUUACUACUCUUCAUGGAGUCAAUCUGUUAGCAUGCUAUGUUUCAUGAGUUCAAAUCAGUGGGUUCAUCUGAUAUUGUCAAUCUCGAACUGGAAAUUUAGAUGGUGACAUAUUAGCUGAUUACGUAAAGAAACAAUUAACUCAACAUUUGAAUAUAAAGAUAGUGUUAAUAGGAAAGUUAUUUGUCUAAAGAAAAAUCUUCAUUUCAAAUGAACAGAUCAGGGAAUAAAAAGUUUUCGAAUUCACAAUGGCCAGAGGUUAUUGUCACAUGUUCUAAAAAAUAGUAAGUAUUUGAACUGACUUUAUAUUUUAUCUCUUGAGAAAAACAUGGGAAUUGAUUGGAGAACAAUGCAUUAUAAGUAAAGGAAGCUAGAGAGAUUAACAAUAAUGAUACUACUUUGAUUUACCACAAGAAAUCUGUCUCACAAUCAAAAAAUAUUAUCAUAGAACUUCAACUGCAUGUGGACUACACCAUCUUUCUUCAUUAACAAUUAAUGCUUAAGAAAAAACUUGAAUCUUUUAAGGAGGUCUCCAUCAGGUCAUAAGGUAACUGGAUAGUGAAGGGAGAGUGGUUUUGGACAAAGGCACAAGGUGUUCUAAGCCUCAUUUGGCCCAGAAGGGACUAGAUCUUUACGGAAGUUGAACUUGAGGUAUUAGGCUAUUGAUCUUCUUAAUUUUAGUAUAUAUUUCUAAGAGAAAUAGUUGAAAACUAGUAGGAAAAAACCUCUGAGGCUAAAAGUAGUUAAGUGAGGGGUGAACUAGUAUAAAAAGCCUUUGUCUCAUUAGUGAGGGAGAGAAACUUAUGAGAGAACUUAUUAGAGGAGAGAGAAAGCAAGCCUACAUGUAAGUAAUCACAUAAAACUAUGUUAGCACGUGUGUUGACACAUCCAUUAUCCAUAAAGAAAAUCUAAGAUUUUUGAGACACCAAUUAACCCCCCCCUCUUGGUAUUUUGUCUAACCCUUAGAUCUUUCAAAUUUUAGUUUUGGAUUUGAGCCACACACAUAGCAACAUCUUCAUAGCCAACUAUGAGCUAGGGCUAAUAUUUGAUCAAAAUUAGGAACUCUAGCAUUAAGUUUAGUCAACUCUUUGGGAGAUGACAUUCAUUUGAGUGAAGGAACACAUAUUGUAUAUGGAAGAUUUCUAGUUCAAAAUCCCGUUGUUGGACUAAUAUCAAUCUCUCAUCUAUUUUAGACCCAACAAUAGCAAUAACUUGAUCCAAUGCACCUCAAUGUGUCCUCUUGAAAUAAAGAAAUCUAAUGGCUCUUGCUCCAUAGAUCCAAGGAUUAAUAGAGCAUCACAUCAUAGGACCUAUAGACCCACUUGCUGUCACACAUAUCUUGGGCCAUAAAAGUAGAACAAUUUGAUGUAUUAAGAGGAGACACAUCACUAGCCAUUAUUGCACGUGGCAUCAAAUGCAUGGAUCCUAAUAAAAAUGCCAUGCCAACAGGAACAAAGGCAAUGGCUUCAUUGGAUGGCAAAUGUGCAGCCACGUCAUCCUUUCUCUUGGUAGAUCGGUGACAUACGUAUAUGAGGAUUUCAACAUGCCACGCAACAAGGGCAUGCACAUAAAUAUCAAUUAUCAUAUAAUAAGCCAAAUAUAUCAAUUAUUGUAGCACACAUGAGGCUGGGCAUAACUACAAAUAUUGAUUAUCAUUUGGUAAAAAAGAUGAUACUGAAUAUUGCCAUAGUGAGAAUGAGAGAAAAUCUAAAACAAUCAAGAAAAAUCAGAAAAAAUGUGGUAGAAAUAGUAAGACAAAACAAAAAACAUGAUUUGUGGAGUUAGAAAAUAAAAAGAAAGGAAGAGGGAGAAAGAGAAAAGCUUUUUCAUAGUUUUUAUUUUCGUGCUCUAGGAAAAAAUGAUGUCUUUUCUCCUUUGAGGAAAGAACAAACUUUGGAUUGUAACCUUGAUUUUAAUUAUUUUCCUCCACUCUUUUUCCCUCAAAUCCAUUUCCUUGAACUAGUUGCAAGGUUGAAAAGUGCAACCUAGAGGUAAACAUGAUGUUAUGUACUCUACAAGGCUGUAAGUUUGAUGUUUAAUAUAGUUUUUGAUUUAUUCUUCUUUUAAUCUCAUAGUAUAUUUAUUUUUUGAUUUUUCCUUUAUUUACAUGCCUUUCUUUUGUUCUUAAUAUCUUAAAUCAUAUUUUCUUCUUUGUUUUGAUUUAUUUCACGUUUUAAUUUCGAUUCUAUGUUUAUUGAUUGUUUAUUUCCCUUGAUCAUUUCAUAUAAUGUUUCAUUUCUUAAAAUUUGUAGUCAUUUAUAUUAGAUUUUAUUCAAUAACAGCACAACAUUUACUUAUUUUAUUAUCAUGUGGUUUGCAGUAUUAUUUGUUUCUAUUUAUAUUUAAAUAGUUCCUUUGAUAAAUUACUCCAAAUUCAUAAAAUUAAGGAUAUAAUUAGAUUGUGUUUUAAGGAGAUGAAAAGAGUCUUCAAUGACUUCCCUGAGGAGACCACCUAGCUCACCAUUAUAUAUAUAUAUAUAUAUAUAUAUUUAAAAUCAAUUUAUUUUAGUUAGCUUAGUUCUAGAAAUAUUUACAAUUGAUUGAUGAUCUUAAUGAUGACUUAGGAUCACAUCAAUUUUUGGAACGGAAAAUAUUUCUAGUAUGAGAAACCCACUUGUGAAUAGUUGACUUAACGUUGGCCGUCGACUAGGUUGUGGACCGGUGACCAGCUGAACUGGAUGAACAGGUGGACUGACUCAAACCAGCAGCUAGGGCGGCCCUGCGGUCCAAAUGGCUCCGGACUGGCGGAACGAGUUGGCUCGGCCAAGGGCUCUAGCCGGUUUUGGGCAGGACAGAUGUGGUUCGGUCCAGCUGUUCGUGAUACCACAAGCCGGGUCUUUAAACCCUAACCGGCGAACGGGUCGUGCGGGCAGAGAAAGCGAAAGCGGCGGAUGCGGCGGAAUGGACGGAGGGUGGAACGGGCGGAGGCAGGAAUGGCCGCAGCGGCAGCAGGUUGUGAUGGCGGACGGUGGCGGCGGAUGUGGGCGGUGAGAGUAAUGGAUGUGGGCGGAUGUGCUGGUGAGAUGGAUGAGCCAGCCCACUUCUUUGAUCCCCAUCACAACCUACCCUCGUCUUUGAUCUCCUCAAUUAUCGCCAUGCAACACGAAGACUCGUCUGGAUCCUGUCUGAUAAAAAUCAUCGAUUCCGCAUGGAUUUGGCGGCAGCCUCAGGGCUUUCGAACAGAUGCAUGACCACGGAUAUGACAUAACAUUUAAGCAUGACGUAGAAUUGAAAGGAACACGAUCAGAAAAGAAAAGAAAUUGACGAAGUAAGAGAAUUCGAGAUCAAGCUUAACUGAAGCACACUCGUGCCUGGGGAGGAAGAGAGUGGCAGGCAACGAGCUGAGGGCAGUCCUUGAUGACGAGUUCAGUGAGGGAGGAGAAGGUACAUCCUCUCUCGCCGUACCAGCCCUUCCAGUUUGGCAUGUUCUCGAAGCUUAGCCUCUUCAAGGAGGGAAAGCCGUUGCUCCCCCCGCAGAAGUCGCAGUCGACAUACUCCACAGCGCCCAUUCCUUUGAUAGAAAGAUCUUCCAGCGCUGGGAGCACGCCAACGGGUGGAAGCUUUUCGCACGCCCUGCAAUUGGAGAGCCUGAGCUUCACCAGCUUUGAGAAAGCUGCGGCGCCAAUCCAGGUCGGGAAAGAGCGGCCACCGUAACCCACUACCCAGAGCUCUUUGAUACCAUUCGGCGCUCGAAGCUUUUCAAGCACCAUCUCCUGCAUCGAGUGUGAGCCCAGGAAAGAUCGUUUGUCGCCCCACUGCAGCUCUAAUCUUGUAAUGUGAGUCUUCAUGGGCAAAUUUGCUUCAGUCGCUUCCUUAGAAAUGUUUUGGAGAUUUAGCAGGCGGAGAUCUCCUCGAAUGUCGUUCAUUUCGCCCAGUUCCUGAAUUCCUGCAUGAAUAAGUCCCGUCGAAACAGGAAAAAUGGACAAUGUCUGCAGGCUCAGCUUGCCGACGUCCUUCGGCAUGGAGCUCAGCGAGCACGGAGCUUCCUCCUGAAAGUCCUCAUCGUGGUGGAGAUCGAUGUGGCGGAGAUCCGAAAGGGACCCGAUGUUCUUUGGAAGCUUCUCCAGCAUCUUACAGUUUCUCAGGCCCAGGGUCUGCAGGUUGUACAGAUUGGAGAUAGAUUCUGGAAGCUUUCUGAUCUUUGGGCUGGAGAUGUUAAGGUAUCGCAGGUGUAUCAGCUUCCCGACCGAUUCGUCCAGCGAUUCAAUCUCCAGGCAUC